CAUGUUGGCCGGGCGGCCGCGCGGCGCGUAUGCGCCUCGAGGAACGUCCGGGCUCCGUAGAGGACGGUGGUGGGUAACGCCCACCCGGGGUGACCCGCGGGAAAGCGCAACAGAAAGUAAACCGCCGCAAGGUAAGGGUGAAAGGGUGGUGUAAGAGACCACCGCGUGCCGGGUGACCGGCAUGGCACGGCAAGCCCCACCGGGAGCAAGAUCAGACAGUGCCCCGCAAGGCUCCUCGUCUAGGGCACGGGUGGAUUGCUAGAGUGCGUCAGCAAUGGCGCACGUAGAUGGAUGGUCGCCGCCGCGCAAGCGGUACAGAACCCGGCGUAUAGGCCAAGAUGACAG
rfam:Actinotignum schaalii strain CCTG 27420 chromosome, complete genome.